AUGCCAUCAGGUGAUGAGUCUGUUCCAAGGGGUGUGUGUUUGGAGAAUCUCAAGCAUCUGUUUGCAAACCCAGUCUGGCCUGGUCUCUCUUCAGGCCUCCUGGCGAAGUGGCAGAGAGAUGAGCUGUCUGAUUUGCUGGGAGGAAGCCGGGAGCAGCUCCCUGAAGAGCGACCCAGACAAAACUUGGACAAGGAGGGAGCCGCUGGAGGGCGCUUCUCGUGGCAUCUCCUGGGCAGAACCUGCUCUUGGAAAAAAAUGAGAACAAGUUUUAUCCCUUUUCCACAUGAUGUCCCAUUACCUACUCAAAGACGGCUCAGCUUCUGUCAGGCCCAGCCUGGCUCCAGCCUCUGCUGUGCUCCUUCAUCCCCAGCUGGGGCCACUUGAUCCUCCCCUCUGGACUCAGUUCUGCUCCAGGGUGCUCCGACUAAUCCUGGCCUCGGGCCGGAGAGAUUCAACGAGCUCAAGCCCAACUGUGUGGGAUUAAAAAUCAAUUUUCUCUCAAUGCUAAUCUGGAUAAUGUGGUUCUUUGCUUGUGUCCUUUUUCUGACUAAACUGCCUUCUACUUAUUUUUGUGAUAAUCAUGGCUAUCAUGUGUCAAGUGUUGGCUGUGUGCCAGAUACUGUGCUAAGCGUGUUACAGAUUAUUUUAUUCCAACAGCAGUUCCCUAAAGUUGAUAGUAUUACCCUGAGUUUACAGAUGCGGAAACGGAAGCCUAGGGAGGUAGAGUGACUUUCUCAAGGUCACGGAGGCAAUAAGGAAAGAACUGAGGAGGCGCCCCAGGCAAGCUUCACUCUGCAGCCUUGUGGUUAGCCACUCGAAUGAAGGCAAUGCCUUCCAGCCUGGCCUUUCUUUGUGCCCUCAGUUUGGGUGCCUGUUACCCUGUGUCCCUCUCAGCACCUCUAGGUAGGGGGCGUACCCUUGUCGGACCUCAAUGUGCAGACUGGAGUCCUGCCUGAAUUCCAGCCCAGGGGUAGGAUCUGUACUGCCUGUCUGCUCGCUUAGCUCCAUGCACCUUGCAUGCCUGCGUCUGGUAUUUGCCUAUUUUCUUCUCUUCAUGAUCACAAUGGUGAAGAUUUUGGAGAAGAGGUCUCCCCUUUUUUUAAUUCCUGGUGGUCCCAAAAGGUAACCCAAGGAUUCUGAUUUGGCCUAUGGAAGAGACCCCUGGGAAUCUAUUGAGAAAGCUUCGUCUCAUCUUACACCUAAGGAGACAGUCCCGAUUAUACGUGAUCCCACUAUCUCCUCAGCAGCCAGGAGAGCGACGUGUUCCUUGGGCUCCCAUUCCAAAGGGGAAAAAGGUAGAGACAUGUUCUAGAGUGAAAACAUCCCUUGAGAGUUUCUUAGGGGAAAUCACAUCUUCAAAUUUCUUUGGCGUCCAUGGAUGUAA
rnacentral:lncRNA from 1 species